AUCCUUUUAUAGUUCCUAAGUGUGAUCAUUGGGUGUUCACGCUCACACGUGAGAUGUGCUACCCUUGAACCUUGUUAGAACAUCAGCACAGGCCGGGCGCGGUG
rnacentral:snoRNA from 1 species